rnacentral:rRNA from 1 species
CACGAAACCAGUUGAGCUACUGUGGGGCGUAUAGUAGUACAAAAUAUGUAGCAUAAUGUAGAAGACCCCACAGUAGGGGUGAUAGGCCCUCAAGUCUGGUGAUAUCUUGUAAACCCCCAAAGGUAUUUAGUACAUCGGCAGUUUACCAGUGAUAAGGCUGGUAAAUUUUAUUUAAUUUGUUUGUUAAAAAUAACGCAGUUUAAUCGCUAGUUCUCUUAGCAACUUAAUAUUUAUAUUUGACAUUAAUAGAUAUUAGGGGUUAUUGCAAAAUAUUAAUGGGCAUACAUACUGUGGAUAUUAGUAAUUAAGGUACUACUUAUGAACUCGGCAAUAUUUCUUUCACCUGUUUAUCAAAAACAUCGCCAGUAGGAGUUAUUAUUGGUUAAUUCUGCUCCAUGUACUAUAAAUAGCCGCAGUACCCUGACUGUGCAAAGGUAGCAUAAUCAUUUGGCUUAUAAUUGAAGUCUGGCAUGAACGAAUUCAUGGGGGAAAGCUUUAUCGGUGGUAUGUUUCGAAUUUACUAAAUGGGUGAAAAUUCCCACUGUCAAAUAAAGGACGAGAAGACCCUAGAAAUUUGUAUGAUUUGUACGGAUAAAUUUUUGUUGGGGCAACAUAGUAACAUUUAAUUUACAAUAUGAACACGUCACAAGGGUAGGAAGAUUAAAUUACUCUAGGGAUAACAGCGUAAUUCUCAAGAGUUUGCGACCUCGAUGUUGGACUAGGAAGCUGAUGCUUAGAA